rnacentral:lncRNA from 1 species
AGUCCUAGGGGUAAAGAAUGAAGCUUCCUAAACAUGUCCUACCACCCUGACCUCUACUGAGUCAAAUAUAAGGAUUCAAGGAUUAUUAAAAGGACUGAGCUGACCAAUGACCACAGACACAGGAUGUUGUACACUUUUGGGAGUUCAAGAUCCCAGAACAGCAUUGGUUGUCCAACUGUACCCUCAGAAGACUUCUUAGUCAAAAAGCAAGCCUGAGCCCUCCACCAUCUGUCUUUGAGCAUUACACCCUGCCCUCACUGUGGAUUUUGAGGCCCUUUCCCACAAAAGAGCCCAGGCAUAGAAGUUGCUGUGUGGUAUCAGUGGAACAAGGCUCAGUGCAUUGACCAACCUGCCAGGGAGUUAGCUGCUGAGAAGCUACAGAGAAUGGCAGAGAGCAUAAAACUCAUGUCCAAAUGGCUUCAUUAAAAGAUUAUGGUGCUUCCCAUCAUAACCUGGUUUUAAAUAGAGGAGCUGUAGAGUUAUGUCAUCUAAACAUCUAUCCCAGAGAGAAGCUGAAGGGUCUUUGAACCUCCAAGUACCAUGCACUAGAGGCUAUUUCUCCUUGUCUCAUAAAGAUGAGACACUCGGUCAAAGAGAGAUGUUUACUCUGGAAUUCUCUCAAGAGAUCUCAAGUUGCUGUGGCAUUCAGAACAACUCUAAUGAUUUAAGAGAAGUCAGAGGAUCUGGUAAUGCCUUCUGGGUCUCAUUUACACAGAAUCAAGAAAAUAUUUUUGUCAUAUUUCUAAGAACACAUGUUUCUUCUGUUCCCUUAUUCCAAAGAUAAAUAUUCUAAAACUGGUGAGUCCUUAUAAUUAUUUUACCCAAAUAUGAUUCUAUGUAAGUUGAAAACAUUUCCAGGUAAAUUCUCAGUUCAACAUUUUAAGGUUGAACCAUGGAGAUCAUGUUCUGCACCACUGCAGAUUUCAAUGAAGUGGACCAUGCAGUUUUAUAAUCAUGUAUAUAUCUAAUUUACCUGAAACCUCAUUUAGUCUCUGUGGAAGCAGCAAAUAACAUCUGGCUUUACUUUGAAAGUCCACAAAAGGGUCUUGUUUGUGAGUCCACCAUAUAACGUCAUCCUAGCCAUAACCAUGCAUUCAGGAGGAAACCUAAGAGUGUCCUUCCAUGGAAAGUUUGAGUGGCUCUAAUAUUCACUUUGUGAAGACGCUUUCAGAGAAGCAGGUACCACUCUUCCAGAGUGGAAAAGAAAUGUCAACUUCAGAAAGGCACAGCGUUUUGACUACAUCCUUGAUAUGGUCUAGUGAUCGUAGUUCUCCACUGGGUUUGAGAACAGUGUUGGUAUUUUAUUGUUUGCUUCCAUGUGGUUCUGGCUGCUAUGGGAACCACCACUUUGGUGUUCUAAUGGUCAGCACGUCUGACUCACUUUGGGGAAAGGUACAGUAACGCUAUGGCACACUUUCAGGAAAAAAGCAUGGAAAGCAAAACAGAAUUCAUGACCCCCUUAAAAU